rnacentral:rRNA from 1 species
AGAAUCUUGCGCAAUGGGCGAAAGCCUGACGCAGCAACGCCGCGUGGGGGACGAAGGCCUUCGGGUCGUAAACCCCUUUUGCGAGGGAAGAAGUUCUGACGGUACCUCGCGAAUAAGCCACGGCUCACUACGUGCCAGCAGCCGCGGUAAUACGUAGGUGGCAAGCGUUGUCCGGAUUUACUGGGCGUAAAGCGCCCGCAGGCGGCUUGUUAAGUUCAAGGUGAAAUCUCCCGGCUCAACUGGGAGGGUGCCUCGAAAACUGGCAGGCUUGAGGUGAGGAGAGGGAUGCGGAAUUCCAGGUGUAGCGGUGAAAUGCGUAGAUAUAUGGAGGAACACCAGUGGCGAAGGCGGCAUCCUGGCCUUAUCCUGACGCUCAGGGGCGAAAGCGUGGGGAGCAAA